CCUACGGGAGUCAGCAGUGGGGAAUAUUGCACAAUGGGCGAAAGCCUGAUGCAGCGACGCCGCGUGAGCGAUGAAGUCCUUCGUGACGUAAAGCUCUAUCAUCAGGGAAGAAAAUGACGGUACCUGAGUAAGAAGCCCCGGCUAACUACGUGCCACCAGCCGCGGAAAUACGUAGGGGGCUAGCGUUAUCCGGAAUUACUGGGGGUAAAGGGAGCGUAGGGGGUUGCUUCAGUCAGAGGGGAAAGGCUACGGCUAAACUGUGGUAAGCCUUUGACAACGGGGAACUUGAGUGCAGGAGGGGAGAGUGGAAUUCCUAGUGUAGCGGUGAAAUGCGUAGAUAUUAGGAGGAACACCAGUGGCGAAGGCGGCUCACUGGACUGUAACUGACGCUGAGGCACGAAAGCGUGGGGAGCAAACAGGAUUAGAUACCCUAGUAGUC
rnacentral:rRNA from 1 species